GUGAAGAACGUAGCGAAAUGCGAUACGUAAUGUGAAUUGCAGAAUUCAGUGAAUCAUCGAAUCUUUGAACGCAUAUUGCGCUCUUUGGUAUUCCGAAGAGCAUGCUUGUUUGAGUAUCAGUAAACACCUCAAAGCUUUUGGAUUUUUUAAUCGAAAAGCUUUGGACUUGAGCAAUCCCAACACCAAUCUUUUUGAGAUCGGUGGCGGGUUGCUUGAAAUGCAGGUGCAGCUGGACAUUCUCCUGAGCUAAAAGCAUAUUCAUUUAGUCCCGUCAAACGGAUUAUUACUUUUGCUGCAGCUAACAUAAAGGGAGUUUGACCGUAUUGGCUGACUGAUGCAGGAUUUCACAAGGGUCGGCAACGAUUCUUGUUAAACUCGAUCUCAAAUCAAGUAAGACUACCCGCUGAACUUAAGCAUAUCAAUAAGCGGAGGA
rnacentral:misc_RNA from 1 species